rnacentral:rRNA from 1 species
GAUGAACGCUAACGGCGUGCCUAACACAUGCAAGUCGAGCGAACCCUUCGGGGUGAGCGGCGGACGGGUGAGUAACGCGUGGGUAACCUGCCCUAUACACACGGAUAACGUACCGAAAGGUACGCUAAUACGGGAUAAUAUUGUUGGAUGGCAUCUUCUAACAAUCAAAGCUCCGGCGGUAUAGGAUGGACCCGCGUCUGAUUAGCUAGUUGGUGAGGUAAUGGCUCACCAAGGCGACGAUCAGUAGCCGACCUGAGAGGGUGAUCGGCCACACUGGAACUGAGACACGGUCCAGACUCCUACGGGAGGCAGCAGUGGGGAAUAUUGCACAAUGGGCGAAAGCCUGAUGCAGCAACGCCGUGUGAGCGAUGAAGGUCUUCGGAUCGUAAAGCUCUGUCCUCAAGGAAGAUAAUGACGGUACUUGAGGAGGAAGCCCCGGCUAACUACGUGCCAGCAGCCGCAGUAA